rnacentral:rRNA from 1 species
AGGACGAACGCUGGCGGCGUGCUUAACACAUGCAAGUCGAGCGGAAAGGCCCUUCGGGGUACUCGAGCGGCGAACGGGUGAGUAACACGUGAGCAACCUGCCCUUAGCUUCGGGAUAGCUCCGGGAAACCGGAAUUAAAUACCGAAUAUGACUGCGGCUGACAUCAGCCACAGUGGAAAGUUUUUCGGCUAGGGAUGGACUCGCGGCCUAUCAGCUAGUUGGUGAGGUAACGGCCCACCAAGGCGACGACGGGUA